rnacentral:rRNA from 1 species
GAUGAACGCUGGCGGCGUGCCUAAUACAUGCAAGUCGAGCGAACAGACGAGGAGCUUUCUCCUCUGACUUUAGCGGCGGACGGGUGAGUAACACGUGGAUAACCUACCUAUAAGACUGGGAUAACUUCGGGAAACCGGAGCUAAUACCGGAUAAUAUAUUGAACCGCAUGGUUCAAUAGUGAAAGACGGUUUUGCUGUCACUUAUAGAUGGAUCCGCGCCGCAUUAGCUAGUUGGUAAGGUAACGGCUUACCAAGGCGACGAUGCGUAGCCGACCUGCGAGGGUGACCGGCCACACUGGCCCUGAGACACGGUCCAGACUCCUACGGGAGGCAGCCGUAGGGACUCUUCCGAAAUGGGCGACAGCCUGACGGAGCAACGCCGCGUGAGUGAUGAAGGUCUUCGGCUCGUAAAACUGUGUUAUCAGGGAAGAACAAAUGUGUAAGUAACUAUGCACGUCUUGACGGUCCCUACUCAGAAAGCCACGGCUAGAUACGUG